AGCGAACGCUGGCGGCGGGCUUAACACAUGCAAGUCGAGCGGGCACCUUCGGGUGUCAGCGGCAGACGGGUGAGUAACACGUGGGAACGUACCCUUCGGUUCGGAAUAACGCUGGGAAACUAGCGCUAAUACCGGAUACGCCCUUAUGGGGAAAGGUUUACUGCCGAAGGAUCGGCCCGCGUCUGAUUAGCUAGUUGGUGGGGUAACGGCCUACCAAGGCGACGAUCAGUAGCUGGUCUGAGAGGAUGAUCAGCCACACUGGGACUGAGACACGGCCCAGACUCCUACGGGAGGCAGCAGUGGGGAAUAUUGGACAAUGGGCGCAAGCCUGAUCCAGCCAUGCCGCGUGAGUGAUGAAGGCCUUAGGGUUGUAAAGCUCUUUUGUCCGGGACGAUAAUGACGGUACCGGAAGAAUAAGCCCCGGCUAACUUCGUG
rnacentral:rRNA from 1 species